GACGAACGCUGGCGGCGUGCUUAACACUUGCAAGUCGAACGGUAAGGCCCUUCGGGGUACACGAGUGGCGAACGGGUGAGUAACACGUGGGUGAUCUGCCCUGCACUUCGGGAUAAGCCUGGGAAACUGGGUCUAAUACCGGAUAGGACCCUGGGAUGCAUGUCCUGGGGUGGAAAGCUUGUGCGGUGUGGGAUGGGCCCGCGGCCUAUCAGCUUGUUGGUGGGGUGAUGGCCUACCAAGACGACGACGGGUAGCCGGCCUGAGAGGGUGACCGGCCACACUGGGACUGAGAUACGGCCCAGACUCCUACGGGAGGCAGCAGUGGGGAAUAUUGCACAAUGGGCGCAAGCCUGAUGCAGCGACGCCGCGUGAGGGAUGACGGCCUUCGGGUUGUAAACCUCUUUCAGCACCGACGAAGCGCAAGUGACGGUAGGUGCAGAAGAAGGACCGGCCAACUACGUGCCAGCCGCCGCCGUAA
rnacentral:rRNA from 1 species